rnacentral:rRNA from 1 species
AUUGAACGCUGGCGGCAGGCCUAACACAUGCAAGUCGAGCGGCAGCGGGAAAGUAGCUUGCUACCUUUGCCGGCGAGCGGCGGACGGGUGAGUAAUGCCUGGGGAUCUGCCCAGUCGAGGGGGAUAACUACUGGAAACGGUAGCUAAUACCGCAUACGCCCUACGGGGGAAAGCAGGGGACCUUCGGGCCUUGCGCGAUUGGAUGAACCCAGGUGGGAUUAGCUAGUUGGUGAGGUAAUGGCUCACCAAGGCGACGAUCCCUAGCUGGUCUGAGAGGAUGAUCAGCCACACUGGAACUGAGACACGGUCCAGACUCCUACGGGAGGCAGCAGUGGGGAAUAUUGCACAAUGGGGAAACCCUGAUGCAGCCAUGCCGCGUGUGUGAAGAAGGCCUUCGGGUUGUAAAGCACUUUCAGCGAGGAGGAAGGUUGGUAGCUAAUAACUGCCAGCUGUGACGUUACUCGCAGAAGAAGCACCGGGCUAACUCC